rnacentral:rRNA from 1 species
GUGUCAGCAGCCGCGGUAAUACGAAGGGGGCUAGCGUUGCUCGGAAUCACUGGGCGUAAAGCGCACGUAGGCGGACUCUUAAGUCAGGGGUGAAAUCCUGGAGCUCAACUCCAGAACUGCCUUUGAUACUGGGAGUCUUGAGUUCGGGAGAGGUGAGUGGAACUGCGAGUGUAGAGGUGAAAUUCGUAGAUAUUCGCAAGAACACCAGUGGCGAAGGCGGCUCACUGGCCCGAUACUGACGCUGAGGUGCGAAAGCGUGGGGAGCAAACAGGAUUAGAUACCCUCGUAGUCC